rnacentral:rRNA from 1 species
UACGUAGGGGGCAAGCGUUGUCCGGAAUUAUUGGGCGUAAAGCGCGCGCAGGCGGCCUUGUAAGUCUAGUGUUUAAUCUCGGAGCUCAACUUCGAUUCGCACUGGAAACUGCAAAGCUUGAGUACAGAAGAGGAAAGUGGAAUUCCACGUGUAGCGGUGAAAUGCGUAGAGAUGUGGAGGAACACCAGUGGCGAAGGCGGCUCACUGGCCCGGUACUGACGCUGAGGCACGAAAGCGUGGGGAGCAAACAGG